GGGCGAAUAGCUCAAUGGUAGAGCGGUUGUCUUAUACACAACUGGUUUCAGGUUCAAGUCCUGAUUCGCCCA
rnacentral:tRNA from 1 species